GACGAACGCUGGCGGCGUGCUUAACACAUGCAAGUCGAACGGAAAGGCCCUGCUUUUGUGGGGUGCUCGUGUGGCGAACGGGUGAGUAACACGUGUGUAACCCGCCCUUGUCUUUGGGAUAACUUCUGGAAACUGGGGCUCAUACCGGAUAGGAGCUCCUGCUGCAUGGUGGGGGUUGGAAAGUUUCGGCGGUUGGGGAUGGACUCGCGGCUUAUCCGCUUGUUGGUGGGGUAGUGGCUUACCAAGGCUUUGACGGGUAGCCGGCCUGAGAGGGUGACCGGCCACAUUGGUACUGAGAGACGGCCCAGACGCCUACGGGAGGCAGCAGUGGGGAAUAUUGCACAAUGGGCGGGAGCCUGAGGCAGCGACGCCGCGUGCGGGAUGACGGCCUUCGAGUUGUAAACCGCUUUCGCCUGUGACGAGGCGUGAGUGACGGUAAUGGGUAAAGAAGCACCGGCUAACUACGUG
rnacentral:rRNA from 1 species